AUGCUCGCAAUCAGUCCGAAUGACAGCAAGUUUAGAAUAUUUUUUUUCCUGAUUCACAGAACAAUUUCAAUAGAUCUAAGCAAAGAUCGAUGGAUGCUUCAGAACAGUAGAGAGAAAGGAACAAAAAUAAUCAGGACACAGAGGAGGAUAUUUCGCAGCUAUGACGACUUGCAUUUUCUUCCAUUUAAACCGAGUUCAAACAUAGGAUAUUCCAACAUCACAUCCCAAUCCAUGACAGAAGGGAUUGCUGCAUCACCGACGACCGACCGACCAAGACUGAAAGAUAACACAUGUUGUUUCUUCCUCGCGUAA
rnacentral:rRNA from 1 species